UGGGGAAUCUUGGACAAUGGGGGCAACCCUGAUCCAGCCAUGCCGCGUGAGUGAUGAAGGCCUUAGGGUCGUAAAGCUCUUUCGCCUGUGAAGAUAAUGACGGUAGCAGGUAAAGAAACCCCGGCUAACUCCGUGCCAGCAGCCGCGGUAAUACGGAGGGGGCAAGCGUUGUUCGGAAUUACUGGGCGUAAAGGGCGUGUAGGCGGUCUAAUCAGUCAGUGGUGAAAGCCCUGGGCUCAACCCAGGAAUUGCCUUUGAUACUGUUAGACUAGAGUUCGGGAGAGGAUAGUGGAAUUCCCAGUGUAGAGGUGAAAUUCGUAGAUAUUGGGAAGAACACCAGUGGCGAAGGCGGCUAUCUGGACCGAUACUGACGCUGAGGCGCGAAAGCGUGGGGAGCAAACAGGAUUAGAUACCCUGGUAGUCCACGCCGUAAACGGUGGGCGCUAGGUGUGGGG
rnacentral:rRNA from 1 species